CACACACUUUCUGAGCCUUCUUUGUCUACCUCAAUAUGAUAUAGAAGUAAAGCUAACCACGGGAGAACCUGGCGUGUCCUGUGUUUAUUUCCUGCGGGACAGGGAUAAGCUCGGGAUACUUGGUGCUCGAAACCCGGGGAAAAAACGCCUUAACAACACGCACACCAGAGGAGACCCUUCUAAUCGAAGCAGGUUCAGAACCGCGGUGGAUCUAAAACUCCGAGGGCAUACUGGAUCCUUGAAGAAGACAACCCAUUCUGGCUGCCGGAACGACUGACACGGAGUAUUCUGACACCUGAAGAUGACUCCCGGAUGGAUCCCUUGGAAACUACCUCUAGUCCUCGUGCUACCUCUGUGGAUUUGGGUUCCUAGUAUAUUUGGAGAGUAUAGAUGGGCAAUUCUGUCUGCUUUCCCUAAGCCCAUGCCUGUCCAUCAUAAUACAGAUGUUUUUCCCAAGUUUUUUACGACCAAUAAAACUUCAGGCCUGCCAUACCUACCAUUUGACCCUAUCUGGGCACCACUGGGAGAAAAACGCUCUUUAAGGGAACAAGGUUC
rnacentral:lncRNA from 1 species